UUGCAAAACAAGAAAACAAAAUGAAACAAAAUAAAAAUUAUCAACUCAUAUCAAGCACACAUGUGGCAGAUAUUUUUUGUGAUAGAUGACCAUUCUUAUAUCAAAACAUACAAACAUUUUGCAAGAUAAACAGCAGCAUGCAAUGGGCUGGAGAAAGAAACAGCAGAAAGCAGAGUCAAAGAGCCCGGGGAACCAUCCAUCACAAAGCUAUCCUGCCUUAAAGUGAAAAGUGCAAUUCCCUAAGACUCUGGUAACACCCAUGACUGAACAUCCUGCUAAUUUUAGCAAAAUAAUAAAUAUGAAUAAGUCUCGUUUUUGAAACUGACUGCAGCCAAAUGAAAGUGGGAAACCUUAGCUUACAAAGAAAUAAAAACCAGAAGCUCUUCCCUUUCAAUUGAAACCAUGAUUAACAAACAUUUGUAAAUCCAAGUUGCUCUCAAAAGAUCAAAACUGGUAUGAUUCAGUGA